rnacentral:rRNA from 1 species
UACGUAGGGUGCAAGCGUUGUCCGGAAUUAUUGGGCGUAAAGGGCUCGUAGGCGGCCAACUAAGUCGGACGUGAAAUCCCUCGGCUUAACCGGGGAACUGCGUCCGAUACUGGAUGGCUAGAGUUCGGGAGAGGGAUGCGGAAUUCCAGGUGUAGCGGUGAAAUGCGUAGAUAUCUGGAGGAACACCGGUGGCGAAGGCGGCAUCCUGGACCGACACUGACGCUGAGGAGCGAAAGCCAGGGGAGCAAACGGG